CAAGCGUAUUCCCGCUUUAAUUGGUAUAGCGGGCGCGGCUGUUUUCUUGAUUUCACCGAAGGAAUUCCGAAGGAAUUCCGAGGGACAAGACGAAGGGGGAAAAAUAAAGGGGGAGUGAAACUUCGGUCAAUAAGCCAAAUUUUAUCGUCUGAUGCUCGUAGUACGUUGCUAGGAACGGGGCCGUUGCUAGGAACAUUUAUACAAAAUUGGCGCGAAUAUUCAAAGGCGAAGACAGGGAAUGAUCGACGCAGUAACGAAUGGCUGAAAAAAAUUUACAUAACGAAAUGUAAGUAAACCUAAUUUGAAUAUUUAUAUCAUUUGAAUAUGAGAUAACAUUAACUGAAAUAUUUACGGUGUUUGUUUCAGAUUAACUUCUAAAUUCUGCUACUCGCCUAACAAUACGUUGCCAGUACAAGAAGCAUACAAUGCCUUCUCUUCUGAAUGCCUAAAACAUGGACUUGCUGUCUUGAAUUGUGCCACCUUUGGAAAGAGACUUUUGAAUGCCUUUCCAUAUUGCGAGAAGAAGAAGAGAAGAUGCCCUGGCUCGAACGGCCAAUACCAGUAUCCUUCUAUAUAUUGAAUACUAUAUAUUUA